rnacentral:rRNA from 1 species
CCUACGGGUGACUGCAGUGAGGAAUAUUGGUCAAUGGGCGCGAGCCUGAACCAGCCAAGUAGCGUGAAGGAUGACUGCCCUACGGGUUGUAAACUUCUUUUAUAAAGGAAUAAAGUGAGGCACGUGUGCUUUUUUGUAGGUACUUUAUGAAUGAGGAUCGGCAAACUCCGUGCCAGAAGCCGCGGUAAUACGGAGGAUGCGAGCGUUAUCCGGAUUUAUUGGGUUUAAAGGGUGCGUAGGCGGAUCAUUAAGUCCGUGGUAAAAUUGAGGGGCUCAACCCCUUCCCGCCAUUGAAACUGGCGCUCUUGAGUGGAAGAGAAGUAUGCGGAAUGCGUGGUGUAGCGGUGAAAUGCAUAGAUAUCACGCAGAACCCCGAUUGCGAAGGCAGCAUGCCGGCUUCCGACUGACGCUGAAGCACGAAAGCGUGGGGAUCGAACAGGAUUAGAUACCCUUGUAGUC